rnacentral:rRNA from 1 species
UCGAUGAAGAACGCAGCGAAAUGCGAUAAGUAAUGUGAAUUGCAGAAUUCAGUGAAUCAUCGAAUCUUUGAACGCACCUUGCGCUCCCUGGUAUUCCGGGGAGCAUGCCUGUUUGAGUGUCGUGAAAUCAUCAUGGUCAUGAUCUUUAAUUAAUCAUGGCUUGGUUUUGGAGGUUAUGUUGGCUUUUAUUAAGUUGACUCCUCUUAAAUACAUUAGCUCAGUGUUUAAUGCUUAGAGCGGUUCACGGUGUGAUAAUUAUCUACACUUCAACCAAUUUAAGUUAGCUGGCUUCUAAUCGAUCCUUAGUGAUCACUUUGUGUAUUUGACCUCAAAUCAGGUAGGACUACCCGCUGAACUUAA